AGUUGGUUAAUUUAGAGCGAGAGAGAAGGUAAUUAGCAUGCCCUCAGGCGUGGCUAAGAUAGAAUAGGAGGCACUAGUAUGGCUUAGAUGUGAAUGUGAAACACAAUGCUUGGUUAUGAGGCAAUAGUGACCAGAUGCUGUGACUGCUCACAGCAAAAGCCAAUCCUGUGAGAGAAAGAAGCUGCCCAGGCAACGUCACCACACAGGCAAAUUUAAUUGAAAACACACGAGAGAGGCCAGUGAACACUAGAGGGGGAGCUUACCCAUGGUGCAGCCUCAGCUGGUCUGACAGAGGGAGCUGUUCUCUGGGCCCCACCAUAUCCAUGCCUUUUAUCACCCCUCCAUUCCCACCUCUCCUUCCUCCACCUCCAGCUCAGGCAGUGGGAGACCUUCAGGGAUCAGAGGGCAAGGGUCGAGAAGAGCAGCAGGCCUUUUUAUUGUCGUUCUCCCAGAAACGAAAGGGGAAGACGAGAAAAAAAUGUCCAAAUGUGUUUUUUUGUAUAUUAAUGUGAAUGCCUACAUCGACAUCCCGGUUGAAUCUUUUCAAAUACUGUGUUCAAACCAGAUAUAAUAUUUCGAAUAAAUAUGCAUGUGUUAUAAUUA